rnacentral:snoRNA from 1 species
UGGCUCAGUUUCCUGGGGGGUGGGCCCAGCCUACUCUACCUCCCCUCAGCUGAGCCUACAGUAGAGGGGCCAGGCAUCCUCCCUGAUGGGAGAGGCAUUUGAGUAAGGAGCCUUGCCUCGGGUGUCCUAGCCUCACAUUU